ensembl:lincRNA
CAGGAUACAGGGACAGCAUCUGAGAUGCCUUGCAGCUAAGUGGAGCAUGCAAAUGAUUCCCACUGGAGAGGAGAGUGGAAAACAAAACAAAAAAAACAAAGCCAUCACCAGUCCAUUUAAUGUUCCGGUGACGUUCCUGUGUGGUGGGAAGAACAUUGCCUUCUCAAGAUGUCCCUGGAUUCUGUCACUGUUUUGGAAUACAUGAUAGAAGAAGUUUAAGUUUGUAAAUGGAACUCGUACUCCUUAGCGGUUUUCCAGUUCUCUGUGUGUUGAGAUUAGGGAGGAGUGGAUUGCAGAAGGUGCCGGAUUUGAUGUGUAUUUGGCCAUCUCAGAGCCUCACCCCAGGCCUUCCAUGAUGCUGUUCACACUUCAUUGGCCCUGUCCAUUAUCAUCAAGAAAGACUUAGAAAUUUUCUCCUCCAACUGCCAAGAAGGAAGUAGGAGCAAGACUGUAUGUUUCGGGACAUGGGUCUUCCUGAUGGUCUCCAAUGACACCCCUACCAUAUCCCAGAAGGCCACUCAGAUGCUCUGAACCCAAGGAACACAUUAUCUCCCCGCCUCCUCCUCACCUCCCUCUUACUUCUCCAUCUUCAGGCUUCUACCCUUACCUUGAGAAGGUUGUUUACAUUUUUUUGAGGCAAUACAUCACUCCCCCUUUAAAAUUUGCUUAUAUAUAAUUUUUUUCUAUUUAAAACUUUAAAAAGACUUCUCAGACAUGAGUAUUAAAUUUAUAUUAUUUAUAUUCCUUGUUCUCUCAGCACUCCCUGUACUUACUCGCUCUCUCAAGUUCAUGACCUCUUCUUUAUUUUUGCUGCAUAUAAACACAGGUAUAUACGAGAGAUAAUUAUCUGUGACCUCUAAUCUCUCUGCUCUUGAAUCAGAAAACCUGUAUCAUCUAUUGUAUCAAAGGCUUAUUUUUGGAAUUAUAAGCCUGAAUAUGAGACUUUUGGUUGCUUGUUUACUGUUUAUUGUUACCUUUAAUCUAUCCUGAGUCAAAGGUGGCUUGCCUUGAGCCAGAGAAGUCACCGUAUAAUAAGGACCAAACUAAAAUAGCUCAUUUUUUGUAUCCAUUUUCUCUUCAAACAUCACUUUGCUUAAACGUUCUGUUCUGUUCAAGACUUCUAUAUUUUUAGAUUGAACUAUUGGUUAUAUUUAUAUUAAGAGUUAUUUUAUUGUCUUAAUUGUCGGUCUGUGUAUGGACAUGGGCAUGUGAGUGCUAGUGCCCACAAGGGCUGGAGGUUUCAUGUCUCCUGGAGCUGGAGUUGCAGGCAGUUUGUGAGCUACCUGAUGUGGGCCAGGGAACGAAACUGUAUUGUCUACAAAUGCUGUACAAAGGAAGCGAUGCUGUUCGGUCUUCUCUCCAACCUUGGAUCAUAUCUAUAACUUGUAGUUAUAGGGAUGGUUAAGGAGAAAACACCAUGACCAAAGCAACUUACACAGGAAAGAGUUUAUUGAGGAUUUACAAUUUCAGUGGGACAAGAGCCUAGCAUAACUGUCAUCAGAGGAUGAACUGAAGGAGCCACAGGGGUCGAGGACAUCACAAGCAAAUCUAUAGGAUCAACUAGCCUGGGCUAAUAGGGGCUCAUAGAGACUGAACUGCCAAUCAGAGAGCAUACCUGGGACAGACCUAGGCCCUCUGCACAUAUGGAGGAGGUGUGCAGCUGGGUCUUCAUGUGGAACUUCCAUUCAAGUGGAAGCAGGGGCUGCCUCUGACUACAUUGCCUGCCUUUGGAUCCCUUUCCUCUCACUUGUCUAGCCUUAAUAGAAUUAUGCACCUAGUCUUACUGCAACUUGAUAGGCCAAGUGCGGUUGAUGUCCAUGAGAUGCCUCCCCUUUUCUGAGGAGAAGCAGAGGAGGGGUGGAUUGCAGGGAAGUGAGGUGAGGGGAGGGAUUGGGAGGAGAGGGGGCGGGAAGCUGUGAUUGGGUUGUAAAGUAAAUAGCUUAAUGAAAAGAAUUACUAAAAUUUG